UUUGGCGGGGCGCUUACCUGCAGUCGAGCGGGCGUAGCAAUACGUCAGCGGCAGACGGGUGAGUAACGCGUGGGAACAUACCUUUUGGUUCGGAACAACACAGGGAAACUUGUGCUAAUACCGGAUAAGCCCUUACGGGGAAAGAUUUAUCGCCGAAAGAUUGGCCCGCGUCUGAUUAGCUAGUUGGUGAGGUAAUGGCUCACCAAGGCGACGAUCAGUAGCUGGUCUGAGAGGAUGAUCAGCCACAUUGGGACUGAGACACGGCCCAAACUCCUACGGGAGGCAGCAGUGGGGAAUAUUGGACAAUGGGCGCAAGCCUGAUCCAGCCAUGCCGCGUGAGUGAUGAAGGCCCUAGGGUUGUAAAGCUCUUUUGUGCGGGAAGAUAAUGACGGUACCGCAAGAAUAAGCCCCGGCUAACUUCGUGCCAGCAGCCGCGGUAAUACGAAGGGGGCUAGCGUUGCUCGGAAUCACUGGGCGUAAAGGGUGCGUAGGCGGGUCUUUAAGUCAGGGGUGAAAUCCUGGAGCUCAACUCCAGAACUGCCUUUGAUACUGAAGAUCUUGAGUUCGGGAGAGGUGAGUGGAACUGCGAGUGUAGAGGUGAAAUUCGUAGAUAUUCGCAAGAACACCAGUGGCGAAGGCGGCUCACUGGCCCGAUACUGACGCUGAGGCACGAAAGCGUGGGGAGCAAACAGGAUUAGAUACCCUGGUAGUCCACGCCGUANACGAUGAAUGCCAGCCGUUAGUGGGUUUACUCACUAGUGGCGCAGCUAACGCUUUAAGCAUUCCGCCUGGGGAGUACGGUCGCAAGAUUAAAACUCAAUGAANUUGACGGNNNNNNNNNNNNNNUC
rnacentral:rRNA from 1 species